rnacentral:rRNA from 1 species
UACGUAGGGUCCAAGCGUUGUCCGGAGUUACUGGGCGUAAAGCGCGCGCAGGCGGUUCGAUAAGACUGGCGUGAAAGCCCCCGGCUCAACCGGGGAGGGUCGUUGGUGACUGUCGGACUUGAAGACAGCAGGGGCAGGUGGAAUUCCCGGUGUAGUGGUGACAUGCGUAGAGAUCGGGAGGAACACCCGUGGCGAAGGCGGCCUGCUGGGCUGGUCUUGACGCUGAGGUCGCGAAGGCGUGGGGAGCGAACGGGAUUAGAUACCCCCGUAGUCCCUGAGCGGGCU